rnacentral:rRNA from 1 species
CCUACGGGUGGCUGCAGUGAGGAAUAUUGGUCAAUGGGCGCGAGCCUGAACCAGCCAAGUCGCGUGAGGGAAGACGGUCCUAUGGAUUGUAAACCUCUUCUGUCGGGGAGCAAAAGACGCCACGCGUGGCGUUCCGAGAGUACCCGAAGAAACAGCAUCGGCAAACUCGGUGCCAGCAGCCGCGGUAAUACGGAGGGUGCGAGCGUUAUCCGGUUUUAUUGGGUUAAAGGGGGCGCAAGGGGAAGAUCAAGGCAGCGGUAAAAUGGAGAGGCUAAAACUCGUUGAGCCUUUGAAACUGGUUGUCUUGAGUGAAUGAGAAGUAUGCGGAAUGCGUGGUGUAGCGGUGAAAUGCGUAGAUAUCACGCAGAACUCCGGUUGCGAAGGCAGCAUACCGGCGCUUAACUGACGCUCAUGCACGAAAGUGUGGGUAGCGAACAGGAUUAGAUACCCCUGUAGUC